AGGAAGCGGAACCUGGAAUAUAACCAGGAUGCCAACGGUCCAGUAAUGCCAGCCUUGGGACACCGAGCCUGUGACUUCCUGGUAAUAGCCAACCAGCCAGGAUUCUGUAAGGUCCUUCCCUUUACAGGCAGGACUCCCUCC